rnacentral:rRNA from 1 species
UACGUAGGGUCCGAGCGUUUGUCCGGAAUUAUUGGGCGUAAAGGGCUCGUAGGCGGUUUGUCGCGUCGGGAGUGAAAACUCAGGGCUCAACCCUGAGCGUGCUUCCGAUACGGGCAGACUAGAGGUAUGCAGGGGAGAACGGAAUUCCUGGUGUAGCGGUGGAAUGCGCAGAUAUCAGGAGGAACACCGGUGGCGAAGGCGGUCUCUGGGCAUUGACCUGACGGCUGGAGGAGCGGAAAGCAUGGGGAGCGAACAGG